AAAACGAGUUAAGACCCAGCAGGAUCCAGAGUACCACGAGACACGUGAAACCUUGUGGGAAUACGGGGGGACCACCCCCUAAGGCUAAAUACUACUUAGUGACCGAUAGUGCAUAGUACUGUGAAGGAAAGGUGAAAAGGACCCCGGGAGGGGAGUGAAAGAGAACCUGAAACCCUAUGUUUACAAGCUGUGGAAGUGCGAUACAUGAACGCACAACCGCGUACUUUUUGUAGAACGGUCCGGCGAGUUACAUUGACUGGCAAGGUUAAGCACUACAGGUGUGAAGCCGAAGGGAAACCAAGUCUGAAUAGGGCGAGAUAGUCAGUGGAUGUAGACCCGAAACCGGGUGAUCUAUCCAUGUCCAGGUUGAAGUUCGCGUAAAAGUGAAUGGAGGACCGAACACACAUCCGUUGAAAAGGGUGGUGAUGAGGUGUGGAUAGGGGAGAAAUUCCAAUCGAACCCGGAGAUAGCUGGUUCUCCUCGAAAUAGUUUUAGGACUAGCCUUGUUUUAGUUUCAUGGAGGUAGAGCUCUGAAUUCUUAAGGGGGCGUCAAAGCUUACUAAGAGAUAUCAAACUGCGAAUGCCAUCGAAAUGAUGAACAGGAGUCAGACUGCACGAGAUAAGUUGGGUAGUCAAAAGGGAAAGAGCCCAGACCUACAGCUAAGGUCCCAAAGUAUGUGUUCAGUGGAAAAGGAUGUGAGAUUUCAGAGACAACUAGGAUGUUGGCUUAGAAGCAGCCACACAUUCAAAGAGUGCGUAAUAGCUCACUAGUCGAGAGGUCUUGCGCCGAAAAUGUCCGGGGCUAAAACACAACACCGAAGCUUAGGAAUGUAGCAAUACAUUGGUAGAGGAGCAUUUUUAUAGGCGUAGAAGCUGUACCGAUAAGGAGCAGUGGAGUAAUAAAAAGAGAGAAUGCCGGAAUGAGUAGCGAGAUGAAGGUGAGAAUCCUUCAGGCCGAAUAUCUAAGGUUUCCAGAGUAAAGCUGAUCUGCUCUGGGUAAGUCGGGACCUAAGGCAAGGUCGAAAGACGUAGUCGAUGGACAACAGGUUUAGAUUCCUGUACCGCUUAUUAUCAGAAAUGUGGGGACACAGAGACGUAUCCAAACCCAGGAAUGCAAAGACUGGGGCAAGCCAAGUACUGGUAUGGCAGGAAAAUCCGCCAUGCAACAGGAAUAGGUGAUGCGGACCGAAAUCAAGUAGGGAAGUUGGAGAAGGAGCUGUCAAGAAAAGCCGCUAUUGUGUAAUAAGUGCCCGUACCGUAAACCGACACAGGUGGAUGAGGAGAGAAUCCUAAGGCCGGCGGGAGAAGCAUUGUUAAGGAACUCGGCAAAAUGACCCCGUAACUUCGGGAGAAGGGGUGCCAUCCUCCGGGAUGGCCACAGAAAAUAGGCUCAAGCAACUGUUUAGCAAAAACACAGGUCUAUGCGAAACCGAAAGGUGAGGUAUAUGGGCUGACGCCUGCCCGGUGCUGGAAGGUUAAGAGGAGAAGUCAGGCAACGAAGCUUUGAAUUGAAGCCCCAGUAAACGGCGGCCGUAACUAUAACGGUCCUAAGGUAGCGAAAUUCCUUGUCGGGUAAGUUCCGACCCGCACGAAAGGCGUAAUGAUUUGAGCGCUGUCUCAACAAUGCACCCGGUGAAAUUGAAGUACCAGUGAAGAUGCUGGUUACCUGCGCCAGGACGGAAAGACCCCAUGGAGCUUUACUCUAGUUUGAUACUGGGAUUCGAUUAUACCUGUACAGGAUAGGUGGGAGGCGAAGAAGCAAGGACGCCAGUCUUUGCAGAGCCGCUGUUGGGAUACCACCCUUGUAUGAUUGGAUUUCUAACCUGCGCCCGUGAUCCGGGUGGGGGACACUGUCAGAUGGGGAGUUUGACUGGGGCGGUCGCCUCCGAAAGGGUAUCGGAGGCGCUCAAAGGUUCCCUCAGAAUGGUCGGAAACCAUUCAAAGAGUGCAAAGGCAGAAGGGAGCUUGACUGCGACACCGACGGGUGGAGCAGGUACGAAAGUAGGACUUAGUGAUCCGGUGGUAUAAAGUGGGAUUGCCAUCGCUCAACGGAUAAAAGCUACCCUGGGGAUAACAGGCUUAUCACUCCCAAGAGUUCACAUCGACGGAGUGGUUUGGCACCUCGAUGUCGGCUCAUCGCAUCCUGGGGCUGAAGUCGGUCCCAAGGGUUGGGCUGUUCGCCCAUUAAAGCGGUACGCGAGCUGGGUU
rnacentral:rRNA from 1 species